UACGUAGGGGGCGAGCGUUGUUCGGAUUCAUUGGGCGUAAAGGGUGCGUAGGUGGCGCUGUAAGUCGGGUGUGAAAUUUCGGAGCUUAACUCCGAAACUGCAUUCGAUACUGCGGUGCUUGAGGACUGGAGAGGAGACUGGAAUUCAUGGUGUAGCAGUGAAAUGCGUAGAGAUCAUGAGGAAGACCAGUGGCGAAGGCGGGUCUCUGGACAGUUCCUGACACUGAGGCACGAAGGCCAGGGGAGCAAACGGG
rnacentral:rRNA from 1 species